rnacentral:rRNA from 1 species
GACGAACGCUGGCGGCGUGCUUAACACAUGCAAGUCGAACGGUAAGGCCCUUCGGGGUACACGAGUGGCGAACGGGUGAGUAACACGCGGGUGAUCUGCCCUGCACUUCGGGAUAAGCCUGGGAAACUGGGUCUAAUACCGGAUAGGACUCCUGGCUUCAUGGUUGGGGGUGGAAAGCUUUUGCGGUGUGGGAUGGGCCCGCGGCCUAUCAGCUUGUUGGUGGGGUAAUGGCCUACCAAGGCGACGACGGGUAGCCGGCCUGGGAGGGUGACCGGUCACACUGGGACGGGGAUACGGCCCAGACUCCUACGGGAGGCAGCAGUGGGGAAUAUUGCACAAUGGGCGCAAGGCUGAUGCAGCGACGCCGCGUGAGGGAUGACGUCCUUCGGGUUGUAAACCUCUUUCAGCUAUGACGAAGCGCAAGUGACGGUAGUAGCAGAAGAAGGACCGGCCAACUACGUGCCAGCCGCCGCGGUAA